UUGGUACCGUAACUUAGGGAUAAGGUACGCCCUGGUAGCUUGACCAGCCUGCGCUGGAAGGGUGAAGGGGUUGCAAAAAACUGGUGGCUGCGACUGUUUAAUAAAAACAAAGCACUCUGCAAACACGAAACUCGACGUAUAGGGUGUCACGCCUGCCCGGUGCCGGAAGAUUAAAUCAUGGGGUGCAACCUCUUGAUUGAAGUCCCGGUAAACGGCG
rnacentral:rRNA from 1 species